rnacentral:rRNA from 1 species
CUACGGACCAAAGUGGGGGACCUUCGGGCCUCACGCCAAGAGAUUAGCCCAAGUGGGAUUAGCUAGUUGGUAAGGUAAUGGCUUACCAAGGCGACGAUCCCUAGCUGGUUUGAGAGGAUGAUCA